UUCUUUUCAUCUAUAUGGUCGAGAAACGAUUGUCCAAAACUGCCAGUCUGUUUCCUGACAUGCGAAGGAUCAACGUCAUAGAAUAUCGGCAAAACUAAUUGCCCCCGAUUUCUUCUACACUCCAUGAUCUUAACCAGCUCCUCGAGGCACCAGCUGGAGUUCGCAUACCGUCUAGAGAAGACGAUGAUAGAGAUCUUAGAACCUUGGAUUGCCCGCUCAAAUGCGGUUGUUAAUUCUUCUCCCUUUUUCAGUUCUUCGUCGUCAAUAAAAGCAUUGAUUCCAGCCUUUGUUAAUGCUUCAUAGAGGUGGCCCGUGAAGUUUUUACGUGUGUCUCCGCCUCUGAAGCUUAUGAACACAUCGUAGAGCGAACCUUUUGAGAAGGAGGACGAGGACAAGGAGGCGGAGAAGGACGAUGAGGAUGAGGAUGAGGGCAAGGAUGUGGAGGAGGUAGAGGAGGAAGAUGAGGAUGAGGAUGAGGGCGAGGAUGCGGAGGAGGACGAUGAGGAUGAGGGCAAGGAGGAGGAGGAUGACGAGGCUUUAUCGGGGACUGAGACAUUCAUUUGGCGAAAGACGAGGCCGAGGGAGCAGAGGAGGAAGAUGAGGACAUCAAAGACAAGACCGGAAUUGCGAGCCGCAAAGUGGUAGGACACUAACACCAGCACCGGAGUUAACAGCUUCCCUAAGCUCGACCAGGGAUCCAUUUCCUUCAUUUUCUUUAGGCAAAUUGAAGGUUUUUGGCGAUAUUGAUUUUCCCAUUUCCCUCAGCCUUUCCCUUUUUCCUUUACUUUUUUCUUCAUUUUUGGCGAGUUUCCUUCGCUUCUGGUCAAUAAUGCGCGUCAAUCAUGUGCGUUUUCAUACAGUACAUGCGUCCAUGUUUUUUUUUUCCUUUUUCUUGGUAGUUGUGCCGAGUGAAAGGCAGAUUUUAUACUAUAUAUUAUUUUCAAUUCUUGAUAUACUUUUAUUAUUAUUUUGAUGAGAUUUAGAUGUUUUGUUAUGUAUUUUUAAUGUAAGACAAUUAUGCACGUUAAUUAUGUGCGUUUUCGUACCUUUUUAAAGGAGUAGGAUUAUCUGGUCUCUUUUUGUCUCUCUACUUCUCUCUCUUUCUAUUUAAACGGUCACGGUUAAAUCUCGUUAACAUCUUAUAUUAAUUUUUUAUAAAAAAAGAUAAGAUAAAAAAUAUGAGAUGAUGGAAUGGAAAGAAGAAAUGAGAGAAUUCUAAUCUAUUUUUACAGUUUACAUGCGUCCGUGAUUUUUUUUUCCUUUUUCUUGGUUGUUGUGCCGAGACUGCCCUCCAGCUGGAAAUAAGGAGGAGACAGAGAAAUAAGAACUGCCACUAGGUUGGUGAAACAGUGUCAAGCAUUUUCGUUGGACGGAGGACUAUGCAUGUCGGGUUGGAUCGCCAAAUGGAAGGGCAAAAUUUAUAACCAAGCGGACAAUUUUUUUUUUCAACAAAUAAUAUUAUCGGGAAAAUCUCAUAAUAAGCUAAUAAUAAUAUGAUUCAAACUUUUAUUCUUACUUUUUGUUCUAAAUACUUAUUACAAUCAUGAAAAAUAAAAUAGUAGUUUAAAUUUGACAUCAGAGAAAGUGCUACGAACAGACAAAAAAACACAAUCAGAGAAAUUGCUACGAACAAACAAAAAAACACAAUCAGAGAAACUGCAACGAACAAACAAAAAAACACAAUUAGAAGGUGGUUUAAAUUUGGCGCAAUUGAUUGAAGACUUUGACUUGUGGUUCUACACCCUAAAUUCUACAAGGCGCCCUUUUUUUCCACUAUAACACCAAAUUGAAGACUUUGACUUGUGGUUCUACACCCUAAAUUCUAGAAGGCGCCCUUUAUUUCCACUAUAACGCCAAAUUCUACGCGGUAAGUUGACUUGUGGUUCUACACCCUAAAUUCUACGAGGCGUCCUUCUUUUUUCCACUUUAACGUUCACACAAUACACAAUGAUAAGAGAUUUUUCAAUUUAUCAGAACAUAGUCUGGGACACCGUACACCACUUAUAAAACAGUUUCAAGAGGGCUAGUUUGAAAAUAUCCUAUUGCAAAAUUUGAUUUAGAUGAAAACCAGCAACAGUGCCUGCGCGUGUUGUUGCGGGUGUCUAAAAUAUUUUGAUAAUAUGUACAUAGAAAACAUAAUUUAUUGAAGCUAGAUUUCUAUACUUAAGAUAGAGGUUGGCAGUGUUCAUAAUUAUCAAAAGAUUGGGAGUGUCCAAUUGCUCACUGUUCAAAAGAUAGAGAUGCUAUAAAAACUAAAUUCAUGUACAUAAGUUCAUAGUAUCAUGUACUCACAAUAAUCAUAGUAUCAAAAUAUUGGCAGUCUUCAACCACUCAUCGUUCAAAUACGAAAAUAUACAUAUAUCCAUAUCAAAAGGUUGGCAUCGCACAUCUGGUUUGUGUUUAUGAUUUUUCCUGUUCAAUCUCUGGUCUUGCUUGUUUGGGAAUGACCAUCCUUUUUCUUGGCCACCAUGUUGUUGAAUUGGUGCCUAUUCUUUUUUGCUUUGCCCAAGAUUUUGCUAUUGCUAUACAUUACGAAUUGGAAUCAGUAAGAAUUCAAUAUAAAAAAGUAAAUUUGUCAAUCUAUUUAACUUAGUGCGAACUUCAUCAAACAACCAACAAGUAUAAUCCAGCAAGGUUAUUUUCAUUUUCUUUUUUUAAUCAAAAUGAAUUCUAUUGUUCCCAUAUAUUUGCAAAUCCCUUUAAAUUAUCCAAAAACACAAAAGAAAUAUAUCUUGAUCCAUACCAAUUAAUGAUUUCCCAUUUACUUUAGUCAAAUGUCAGAGCCAAUGAAGGAACUGAUGAAGGAGCUAAAAAAGAGAGACAAAAAAAAAUCUCUAUUAUUCAAUUAUAUAGAGAAUUACUUGAUUGUACAAAAGGUUUGAAAAUUACUGUAAAAAUAAAAUUUCAAAAAAAAAAAAAAAAGAUGAGAUGAGAUGGAGUAGAAAUCACAUAACAGCAUUAGACUUAAAUUUGUAGUGCUUAUAUGAGAGAGUAGUGAUAGUGCUGAUGAGAAUGUAGGGAGAGAAACAAAAUGCAAAUCGUAAGAGUGAGAGAAAAACCGCUUGAGGGACACUGCAAAUUGAUCGAUGAGAUUUGAGAAACCACUAUUUUAUUUCUUGGUGGAUAAUUGGAAAUGUUAGUUUUAAGUCGUUCUUGGUGGAUGUUUGAUUUUUGGGUGUGUGGAGUUUUCGAAUUAUAAUUAGUUUUUUAUAGGUAUGUGAUUUGAGAAACCUUUAAUAUUUAUUUUCUCAUUCUUAUUUAUUUAAGGGCAAAUUUGAAAGUUUAGUCAAGAAAAUUUGUUAGUUGGGUGUAGAGAUAUAAAGGAUGGGUUCAAAUAAAAUUUCUCUAAAAUAAAUAAUGUGAAAGGAGAUGAUCAAAAAAGAAGUGAGAGAAUCAUAGUCUAUUUUUUACAGUUUACAUGCGUCCGUGACUUUUUUUGCCUUUUUCUUGGUUGUUGUGCCGAGACUGCCCUCCAGCUGGAAAUAAGGAGGAGACAGAUAAAUAAGAACUGCCACUAGGUUGGUGAAACAGUGUCGAGCAUUUUCAUUGGACGGAGGACUAUGCAUGUUGGGUUGGAUCGCCAAAUGGCUGGAAAAUUUUUAUAACCAAGCGGACAUAUUUUUGUUCUUUUCCUCUGAUGUUCAACUGCAAGUAGAAAUUCUGUUAGUUUAAAGGAUUUAAGGAUUAAGUGCAUUUUUUCAAAGAGGAUUAGCUUGGACGGAAUAACUAAGCAUCUGUAAAGGAGGAGUUCAAAUGUCAACAUCAGCAAUAACAAGAAAAAAAUACGGUAUUAGUGUUAGCAACUUCAAAUUUUUUUUUUUACAAUCAAUAUUAUGCCUUACAAUAAGCUAACAAUAAUAUAGUUCAAACUUUUAUUCUUACUUUUUGUUCUAAAUACUUAUUACAAUCAUGAAAAAUAAAUAAUGUAAUAAACAGUGGUUUAAAUUUGACAUAUCAAACAGAGAAUAAAAUUUUAAAAAAAAAUUAAAGUGUUACACUAACUUUCAAAUUUAAAUUUUAUAUUUGAAAUUUGAAAUCUACUUUGGAAAUGAACAAAUCGGUUGUUUUUUAUUAUAGAUUUCUUUAUAGAUAAUGUUGGUGGUCUUAGAAAAUUUUAUUAACAUGAAAAAAAAUAGUAUACUUAAUCUAUGGACAUAAACCUUUAACCCUUAAUUUGGUCCAAGAUAUUAUUAGAGAAUUCCCACUUGGUUUGGUCCCGUAUAAUUUUGUUUUCCCUGCUAGCAAUAUUUUGAAUUCCAACUAUCUAUAGUUUUGUUGGAAUAAUUUCACAAGUCAUAAUCUAAUCUAUUCUAUUAAGAGAAGAGGGCUUAUCAACUUUUUGCUCAUUUUUCUUCUAAUUUUGUCCUCACUUUUGAUAUAUAAUGUUUACAACAAGGAAGGCAAAAUAGUAAUUUUGUAUCUUUUGACAAAAUAACAAUCAUAUGCCUAUUUUACCUUUUUUCUAGAAAAUGACAAUCAUAUACUUAUGUUUUCAAUUUUACCCUCACUUUUUAUACACAAUAUUUACAUAAGAAUGACAAAAUAGGAAAAAAGGGGAAAAAAAGUUGACAAGGAGGCUUCUCUUAAUAACAUUUUUGAUACAUAAGGAGGACAAGCCAUCAUUUUUUCAUACAGGUAAGUUAAAUAAUUAUGUUUUUCGGAUAAUUUGAAUGAACUGAAGCGGUUGCGCUUGAGAAGAAUGUAAGAGGAGGUGUGUGGUUGUUCACACACACAAAGUGUGUACUCUAUGUAGUACAAAAUUAAGAAUACCAACUAUGCUUUUGUUUUAAUUUUUUUGGCUAAAAAAAAUCAAAAAAUCAAAAUCAAAGAAAAUGAUAGGAAAGAGCAACAACUUGCAUAUGUAUAGUUUAUAAGGAAAACUAAUGAAAAUAGCUUGAAAAUUUUGAGUUUUAACAAUAAAGACAAAAUAAAGGGUAAAGUAAAUAAUAUCAGGAUUGACUUUUUAGUGUAAAAAUAUGGUUUUUCGUUAAAAUUAACAAUACUGAAAACUUUUCGUUAAAUUUCCCUAUUUUAUAUGCUUUUAAUUAUUUUUAUGAGUUUGUGUUUGUACCAAGACAACUAUGUAUUUUAGGAAAACUAAUGAAAAUGAUUUGAAAAGCUUGAGUUUUAACGAUAAAGACAAAAUAAAGGGUAAAAUUAAUAGUAUCAGGAUUAACUUUUUAGUGUAAAAAUUGUGGUUUUUCGUUAAAGUGUACAGUACCGAGAGCUUUUCGUUAAAGUUCCCUAGUUUAUAUGCUUUUAAUUAUUUUUAUGAGUUCAUGUUUAUACCAAGACAACUGUCAAUUUAAGAUUUAGUAUUGAAUGGCUCCAUAGUAAAUAUCACAACUUUCCGAAUAUCCAGCAUCAGGUGGGUCUGAAGAAUUGCAUAGCUUGGGGGUAUCAUCUUGAGGACCCAUAUCAUCUGGAUCAGACCAAGGCCGAUGCCCACCGUACAUAUGGCGCAUAUGCCACACUUCGGCUGGAGGGUGGAGUUUUAACACUCAAAGUAACAGACCACUAGCAUCUGCACCUAUAGGCCAAGGCAUAUUCUAUAUAGCCCAUCGAAAAAAGUGAAAUCAAGUUGUAACUAUGAGAUUUCAGGUUGUGAUUGACAUUAACAAAUUAAGUAAAACGAAUGUGUAGAAUUUUAAGCAACCACUUAACAAGAAAGUUAAUCCUUUGAUUGAAUAAAGUUACAACCAUUGAGUUUAGCAUCAUUAUUAACAAGGAAGAAAAUAAACCAUGCAACUCCAUCAUCAUUCAUGAGUGGUAUUUAGGAAAUACAACUAUACUUGCAUAUGAGGGUCCUAAUUGUCAUGAAAAAAUUAGCAUGUACAUGAAAAUCUAUAUGCAUCUUGAAAAAAAAUAUAUUCUCACUCAUAUAUCCGUUUCAAAUUUAUAUAGACAAUAAUUAAAAGGCUUAAUUACUGGUGCACCUUUGAAAGUGGGAAAAAAAAUCUCACUUUGCCUCUUGAAACUUAUUUUGAUCAAAUUUACUUACUUUUUAAAAUAUGUAAACGUAUCUCAUUCUAUUGUAUACCGUUAGCUUCAUUAAAUUUUUCUUCAAUGUCACUCACGUUAACGUGUCAUCCAUGUGUCAAAAGAUAGAGUACCUUUUUGUCUCUUCCCGUUCUCCAACUUAAUACAAGUUAGUUAUUCUCCUUCACUUCUUUAGCUCAUUUCACUCUCCCCCUCUCUCUCUCACUGAUUUCUAUCUCUUGGUCUUAUUGACUUUUGGCUAAAUAAUGUUAAAAAAAUAUGAGUUUUCACCUUUUUUAUAAUUUGUGAUUCUCUUUUCCAUGUGUAGGUGAGAGAGUAAUGUUUAACUCAAAAUUUACCCUCAUUUUUAAUACACAAAAUGGUUGGACACUAACACCUCCACCGAAGUUAACAGCUUCCCUAAGCUCGACCAGGUAUCCAUUUCCUUCAUUUUCUUUAGGCAAAUUGAAGGUUUUUGGCGUUCUCCGAAAAAAAAAAAAAAAUUGAAGGUUUUUGGCGAUAUUUAUUUUCCUUUUUUCCUGCCGGAACUACUUUCUUCUUCUGAUAAUUAAUAAACCUGUCAACUCUAUGCCAAUAAUGCAGUUAGGAUUGCACAUGGGCGACCGACAACUCAUCAGGACCCCAUUUCCCUCAGCCUUUUCCUUUUAUCUUUACAUUUUUCUUCAUUUUUGGCAAGUUUCCUUUAAUUUUGGUCAAUCAUGCGCGUCAAUCAUGUGCAUUUUCCGACCUUUUUUACACUGUAGGAUUAUCUCUCCUCUUUGUUUCUCUAUUCUUUUUUUUCCUGUUAUUUGAACGGUCACGGUUAAACAACGUUAACAUUUUAUAUUAAUUUUUUAUAGAAAAAGAAAGACAAAAUAAAGAAUAUGAGAGAUGAGAAUGAAAAGAUGAAGGAAGAUAAUCCUAAUUUUUUUUACAGUUUACAUGCGUCCAUGAUUUUUUUUUCCUUUUUCUUGGUUGUUGUGCCGAGACUGCUCUUCAGUUGGAAAUGGACAAGGAUUGCCUGUCUUCCCACUUCCUGUGCCAUUCUGUUUUAUGUGGUUACGGUUAAGCCACGUUAAUAUUUUAUAUUUUUUUUUAUAGAGAUAAAAAAAAGGUCGUACUCAGUGCACAAGGCUCCUGCUUUACGCAGGGUCUGAGAGAGGUGAAUGUCGGCGAGCUUUACCCCCAUUUAUGGAGAGGCUGCUCUCAAGUCUCGAACCCGAGACCUACCGUUCAUGGGCGAAGGCAUUUGCCAUCGCACCAAGUGCGACCUGUUUUUUUUUAUAGAGAUAAUAAGAUAAAAAUAAAUAGUAAUAUAAAAUAUUAACGUGAUUUAACCGUGACCAAACAAACAGAAGGGUACGAAAGGGCAGACAAUCCUUGCUGGACAUAAGGAGGAGACAGAUAAAUAAGAACUGCCGAUAGGUUGGUGAAACAGUGUCAAGCAUUUUCAUUGGACGGAGGACUAAUGCAUGUCAGGUUGGACCGCCAAAUGGCUGGGAAAAAUUUAUAACCAAGCGGACAUUUUCUUUUCUCUGAUGUUCAACUGCAAGUAGAAAUUCUGUUAGUUUAAAAAGAUUUAAGGAUUAAGUGCAUUUUUUUAAAGAGGAUUAGCUUGGAAGGUAUAACUAAUCAUCUUUAAAAGAGGAGUUAAAAUGUCCACAUCAGCAAUAACAGUAAAAAAAUUACGCAUUAGUGUCAACAACUUCAUUUUUUUUUUCUUCAACAAACGAUAUUAUCAGAAAUGUCUCACAAUGAGCUAACAAUAAUGUGGUUCAUGUUUAAACUUUUAUUCUUACUUUUUGUUCUAAAUAUUUACUACAAUCAUGAAAAAUAAAUAAUGUAAUAAAUAGUGGUUUAAAUUUAACACAUUGGGUGGAGAAUAAAAUUAAAAAAAAAAAAAUCAAAGUGUCACAAAAGCUUUCAAAUUUAAAAUUUAUGUUUGAAAUUUGAAAUCUACUUUGGAAAUGAACAAUUCAGUUGUUUUUAUUUUAUUUAAUUUUUUUUAUGGAUUUCUUUAUAGAUAAUGUUGGUGGUAUUAGAAAAUUUUAUUAACAUGAAAAAAAAUUAUACUUAAUCUAUAGACAAAAACCUUAACCCUUAAUUUGGUCCAAGAUAUUAUUAGAGCAUUCCCACUUGGUUUGGUCCCGUAUAAUUUCAUUUUCCCUGCUAGCAAUAUGAGUGCAACUUGGGUUGGGCCAACCUGAACUCGUCCAUGUUCAACCCGACUUUAAACCUAAACAAGCGGGUUUUUUUUUAUAGUUAUAACCCUCCCGAACCCAACCUGAUUUCAACCUGUUCAUUGAUUGGGUUGAGUUGAGUUGAUCAUUUGCCCAACCCAACUCAACCCGACCCAACCCAAUUAAACAAACCCGAAUAUGACCUAUAUCAAUUAAUACUCAUAUUACACCUAAAUGGGCCAAGUCCAAAAACCCACAUCCUUUCUAAUAUAUUUUUUAAAUAAAUUACCCCUCUAAACCCUAAAGCUAUAUAUUAAAUUGUUAGUCUCCAAUUUCAUUAUGUGGCUCUGCAACUCAGUCUACCUCUUUCCUCUUAUUAAGAAGUCAAAAACUAAGUCUCAAGGCUACAGGUCUCCAUCUCUAUCUGAAAGCCCAAGAAAAUUUGCAACUGCCCCUCUCUUUUUGGACAAUGAAGUAUUCCUCUCUAUAUGAAAGCCCAAGAAAAUUUGGACAAUGAAGUGUUCUUCUCUUUUUUUUUUUAUUCUUUUCUUUUGGUACUAGCUUUAGUAUUUCUUGUAUUUUAAUUCAAACUUUGCAUGGUUGAAACAUUUAUAUUUAGUUAUUAACUUUAUAACGGAUACAAUUUGCGGAAUUGAAUUUUAAUUUUGAAAAAGUUGGGCCAACCCAAACCCAACCCAAGUAAACCCGAAUCCAAUUAUACCUGGGCCCGAAUGAACUCGAUUAAAACCCAACUCGAACCCGAACCCGAUUUGUAAAAAGUUGGGUUAGAAUUAGGUUGACCUUUCAACCCACCCAAUCCGCCCAAGUUGCACCCCUAGCUAGCAAGGUUGUGAAUUCCAACUAUCUUUAGUUUUGUUGGAAUAAUUUCACAAGUCAUAAUACAUAAUUAAGAAUAGCAACUGUGCUUUUGUUUUUUUUUUGUUUUUGGCUAAAAAAAUCAAAAAAAAAAAAAUCAAAGAAAGUGAUAGGAAAGAGCAACAACUUGCAUAUGUAUAGUUUAUAUGCUUUUGCUUAUUUUUAUGAGUUCAUGUUUGUACCAAGACAACUACCAAUUUAAGAUUUAGAGGGUGUAUUCAUUUGGGAAUUUGAUAUAUUGUAAUAGAUUUAUAAAUCUACGGAUUUUUAUAGAGUUUAACUAAUUUGUAGAGAUUUCAUAUAAAAUUUUGAUAAACUAUCUUAAAAUCUUGAUUGAAUACACAUUGAAUUUCAGAGAAUCACUUAAAAUCUUGAUUGAAUACACCUUGAUUCAUUAAAAGAAUAAAAAUCCCUAAAAAUCCCAAUUGAAUACAGCCCCCUUAGUAUUGAAUGGCUCCAUAAUAAACAGCACAACUUUUCGAAGAUCCAAAAUCAGGUGGCUCUGAAGAAUUGCAUAGCUUGGGGGUAUCAUCUUGGGGACCCAUAUCAUCUGGAUUAGACCAAGCCCGACACCCAUCGUACAUAUGGCACCUAUGCCACUUUUUGGCUAGAGGGUGGAGUUCUAACAUUCGGAGUAACAGACCCCCAACAUCUGCACCUAUAGGCCGGGGCAUAUUCUGUAUAGCCAUCGAAAAAAAGAGAUUGUAACUAUGAGAUUUCAGGUUGUGAUUGACACGAAUUUUAAACAACCAGUUAACAAGAAAGUUAAUCCUCAUACUGAAUAAAGUUGCAAGCAUUGAGUUUAGCAGCAUUAUUAACAAGGAAGAGCAGAAACCAUGCAACUCCAUCAUCAUGCAUGAGUGGUAUUUUUGGAAAUACAACUAUACCUGCAUAUGAGGAUCAUAAUUGUCAUGAAAAAAUUAGCAUGUACAUGAAAAUCUAUAAACAUCUUGAAAAAAAAUAUAUUCUCACUCAUAUAUUCGUUUCAAAUUUAUAUAGACAAUAAUUAAGGGAAUUGUUAUUGGCAUUUUAAAAAUCUCAUUUUACAUUUCAAACUUUCUACAUUUAGAAAGAAAAAUAUACUUGUGAGGAGUGUAGAAUGAGAUUUUUUAAAUGUUAAUAACACUUCCCAUAAUUAAAAGGUUUAAUUACUGGUGCACCCGUGACUCUCAACGGGUCGGGAUUCAGCUGCACGCGAUAUGCAACUGACUGCAGGCCUGGUUGCUCUGUAUUUUUUUAGGUUUCUUUUAUCCUUCCCUCCCGUCGCGCUAUUCUUUUGUAUCUUUGCUUUUGGUUUUCCCACCAUUUUUGAGCAGGUCAGAGACCAUACUUGUAUACCAAGAAUAAUAGCUUAAUGGAAAUAUCUUGCGUUCCUUCCUUGUAAUUAACAUUUCUUCUUCUUGUUCUUCUAUUAUUUUUUGUUUUUGUCGUAAUAUAAGAGUUAUGUUCAAAAUUGUGAUCAAUUAGCAUUCGCCGCCACUUAGUAUACAUCAUUCAUUAUUAUUUUUUAUUCAAUAGAAAAAGAAUGAAGGAGUUCACUAUUUUUUGUUUUAUCAUCGGAAUAGAGGACUUAUUCUAGUGAAAAGAGAUUUUUCUCUAGAAAGAAACAAAUAAGAUAUUGAUUCCAAAUACCGUUACUUUACUAGAUGAAGCCGACAACUAUGCGUGUAUAAGGAUAAAAAAAAAACUAAAAAAACACUAAGAAUUUUUUUUUAAAUAUAUACUAGCAUAUGGGCACACACAAAGUGUGUGAAUUUUUUUUGUUUGUUUUUGAAAUAGAAGGAGAGAGGAAGAGAGUGAUAGAGAAUGUGAGUGGGGAUUUUUUUUUUAAAUUAGAGAUAUGUUAUGAUUACAUGUAGGUGAUGCUUUGAAAAGAAAAACAAAAUUUGGUUGUGUGAAAUUACAUUUUUUCCCCAUAUUUCUUAUUCAUGUUUUGUUUUAGGGUAAAGUACAAAAAACUAUCUCAACUAUUGGUGUCACGACACUUUCAUACUUCAUCUUUUAAAAUUGACAAUGUCAUACCUUAUCUUACGAAUUUGUGUCAAUGUCGGACCUCCAUCAGUUUUUCUGUUAAUUUCUCUGUUAAAUGCUGACGUGACCCGACACGUGUCCCACUCACUAAUCCAAUUGGAUUAAAAAAUAAUAAAAUACAUUUUUAAUAAUUAAAUAUUCAAAAAUUAAAAAAAUAUAUAUUAAAUCUUUCUCUCUCUCUCUCCUCUCUUUUUUAUUUUUAUAUUAAAUCUCUCUCUCUCUCCUCUCUCUCUCUCCCCCUCUCUGUCGCCUUUAUCUCUUCUCUGCAUCCUAGAACCCAUUCUCAUCUCUCCCCUCCCCCCACCGCGACCCCUUCCCGUUCCCCCUCCGUGCAACCCCCCACCCUUCCCCACCCAUGCCAACAUCUCCUUCUCUCUCAGCUCACUCACUCUUUCUCCCCCUCUCUUGCACAUACUAUACCUCUCUCCCAGAUCUACACUCACGCACCCAUUUACACACCCACACCCACCGACGACGGUACCAAAAACCAUCAUUGGCGUCAACCCUUUCUCCUUUCGUCUCCGUGAAGCUCCGAGGCACCCAGAGGACACCCAACCCAGGUCCGGCGAGCCAUGGGUGUGCGAGCCCAAGUCUCGGGUGGGGACAAACUAGGGGAUGGGGUGGGGUGGGGACGAAUUGGGUUUUGAUUUUUUUUUUUCGUUUCGUUUCUGGGCAGAGCAGGGGAAGAAGAUGGGGGAGGAGAGAGAGGGGGUGGGGUGGGGACGAAUUGGGUUUUGGAAAUUUUUUUUUCACUUUUCUUUGUUAUUUUAAUAUUUAAAAUAUAUUAAAUGAUUUUUUUAAAUAUUUUCUUAAUUUUUUUAAUAGAAAGUGGGGUUUGGAUCAAGCCACGUCAGCAAUUAACUGACAAAUUAACGGUUAGGCUAACUGAAGGUAUAAAAUUGACCAAAUUCUAAAGAUGAGGUAUGACAUUGUUAAUUUUAAAAGAUGAGGUAUGAAAGUGUCAUGAGACUAAUAGUUGAGGUAGUUUUUUGUACUUUACCCUUUGUUUUAAUUAGAGGGUUAAACUGGUAAUUUCAUAAGAUUUUGGUUGACAAUAAGUGUUUUAUUAAUUAGUAGAAAUAAAAAAAAAGUAAUUUUAAAUAGAUGCAGAAAAAUAGUAGGAGAGAGAGAGAUUUGAUAGUUUUAGUUGUUAUAAUUACCAUAUCAUCCUUCAUUUUUAUGUUUUAUUAUUUAAACUUACUAAGAUUAAAAAGGGCGAAAAGGAAAUUUCACCCUCUUUAGUAGUAGAUUAAUUCCCAAACGCUAAUGUCGUUUCCAUGAGGUUUGUAUAGAGUUACAAGAUCGCCGGUGCUUUCUUACAAGGGACAGCUAGUCCAUGACGUCAUAUUGUCACUGUGUGGUAUGGGCCUCCGAGUUGACUCCGCGAGUCUAUACAUCUAUAUACAUACACGCAUCUUUUAGGGUUUAUAGCUUUCCUAUAAAAGGACAGGAUUUCUCGAAUUCUACAAGCACUUACAUUUUGCGACUUAUGCAGACCUUGAUUUAACCAAAUUUGUGAGACUUACAUAUGUCGUUAUCUGCACUCAAUUUUGAAUUACCAUUUUUGUACUUUAUAUAAAUUUAGUGUAAUUAUCUUCCUAGUUUAACAAAUUGGAGCCCCCAAAAUUGAUAUUGAUUGGUAGGUCAAAAUACAAAACCCUAAAUUCAGAUCUUUUCUGAUUCUAUUUUUUUCAUAAAUUUAAGUCAUAUUUAAUAAUUUGUUUUCUGAAUACCUAAAUAUGAGAUGAAUGCUGUGUGUCAAGAUAUGCAUUUGUUGGUCAAUUUUUUAUAACCCCCAUGGCUAGGUGUAACUUUUGUUUUCGUUUAAGAACCAUUGAGUUUUGUUUAGGAACUUAUUUACUUAGUUUAUUCAUAUUUUUUGUAACAUCCAUGACUAGGUGUAUCUUUUGUUUUUGCUUAAGAACCGUCGAGUUUUAUUUAGGAUCAUACUUAUUUAGUUUAUUGCUAAUUUUUACGGUUCAGUUUAAUUCUUUACUUCCACGUUAUUGGUACUUUCUAGGUGUUCUUUCUUUCUUUCUAAUUAAGUGAUUUGAAUUCCUUUUCAACUAAAACAUGCAAUUGAAUAAUAUUUUUUUUCUUGUUUCUUUCUUGGCAUCCUGAUCUUAGUCGCUGUAUAUCAUAUGCGGAUUCCUAGUUGCUGUAAAACUUAACAACUCUUAGGGUUUCACGUCAAUUGCAUGCCUUCACAAAGAGAGGCUGCAUGUAUUUAUAGUCACGUUCAGAUUACAUUAGGGAUUGAAAUCCCUAUUUACAAGGCUGUUUCAAAGCCAAAAGUACAACAGAAACUACAAAACGUAUUACAGAAAACAACUAACAUUCGAAAGGAAGUUUGAACUAAGCUAACUCUUCUUGGAUAAGAGUUUAGGUUGAUCACAACCUCCUGAAUUUGAGGAAACCACCACCAGACGCGGACUUGGUCUAACAGCCCCCCGCAAGCUGACAGGAGGAGAAACAAAUGGAAGGUUGGAAACAAGAUGUGUGAACCGGGAAGAUGACAAUCCUUUGGUAAAUAGAUCAGCAAUCUGAUCUUGAGAACAUAUGAAAUUCACAAAUAACUCUUGGCGAACCACUUUCUCACGAACAUAGUGAUAAUCCACCUCCAAGUGCUUUGUACGGGAUGAAAAACGGGAUUUGAAGCGAGGGCAAUGGAGGAAACAUUGUCACACCAGAUGGUUGGGCGAUCAAGAUGCAAGUGGAGGUCACGAAAUAAAGACCGGAACCAUGAUAAUUCUGCAGCAGUAUAAGCAAGCUGCUGAUAUUCAGCUUCUGAACUCGACCUACUGACAGUUUUCUGCUUUUUAGAAAUCCAAGACACGAGAUUGGACCCGAAGUAAAUGCAAAAACCACCUGUGGAAUGCCGUGUAUCAGGAUUCCCAGCGUAAUCAGCAUCAGAAUACGCUGUAAGGUGUGCAGUCCCAGGUUUAUACACAAGACCAUGAUUGAAUGUGGCUUUAACAUAUCGAAGGAUCCGUUUGACUGCCAUCCAGUGAGUAGUCCUGGGAGAAUGCAUGAACUGACAUACCUGGUUGACUGCAUAAGAAAGGUCUGGUCGCGUGAUAGUUAAAUACUGAAGUGCACCGACAACACUUCGAUACAUCUCGUAAUCAUCAUGGGGCUCACCGGUGUAAGCACUAAGUUUCUGUCCACAAGAAACCAGUGUGGAAAUGGGUUUAGCAUCCAAAAACUUAGUACGCUUAAGCAAGUCCACAGCAUACUUGGCCUGAUUCAAAUGCAUUUGAUCACCACAAUAGGUUACUUCGACACCCAGAAAGUAAUGAAGAGGCCCAAAGUCCUUCAUUGAAAACAAAGUUCCCAGUUUAUGGAUUAAGCGAGACAUGUGGCGAAGACUAUUCCCUGUCAACAAUAUAUCAUCCACAUAGAUCAAUAAAAUCAAGUAGAGACCAGAGUGAUUGAAAACAAAUAAACUGUAAUCACACGUGGAUGCUUGAAACCCUAAUUGCAGUAAAAACUCUGAAAAACGUUGAAACCAAGCUCGCGGAGCUUGUUUCAAUCCGUAUAUACUCCUUUGCAAUUUGCAGACAUGUUUGGGAUGCUGCUCAUCAAUGAAACCUGCAGGUUGGCGCAUAUAUACGGUCUCCUUUAGAAAGCCAUGCAAGAAAGCAUUUUGUACAUCCAAUUGCCUGAUAUGCCAUUUGUUUGAAACUGCCAAACUAAGAACAAGGCGUAUGAUGCUAUGCUUGACCACAUGACUAAAGGUCUCGGUGUAAUCAAUCCCAGGCUGUUGAUGAAAACCAUUUGCAACUAACCUCGCCUUGUGCCUUUCUACAGAGCCAUCUGCCCUUUGUUUGAUCUUAAAUACCCAUUUGUUGGGCAGCACAUUCAUUUGGGAAUGAUAAGGAACAAGCUCCCACGUGCCACAUCGCUGCAGGGCAUUAAAUUCUUGAACCAUGGCGUCCCUCCAUUGGGAUUGCUUGACAGCCUGACUGAAACAUGUAGGUUCAACUAAAGAAGGAUCAAUAGAGACAUGUAUAACAUAUUUAGGAUUAGGUUUCUGUAUUCCCGACUGUGAUCGAGUCGUCAUGCGUGGCCUUGGUAUGGAGGAUUGAUGUAUUGAAGCAACAUCGUGGGCUGAAGAUGGCAGGGAGUGAGGCGUGGGGGACUCAACAACUGGGGCUUGCUCAUUUAAAUUUUGGUUUGUGGAACUAGGGUCAGGGAGAGAUAAGGUGGCUGGCGGGUUGGACGGAGAAGAUAACAUGGGAUGGGGAGGAAUAGUAUUGUGGUGAGGAUUUGGCGGAGUGGACGUGGUUAUGGUUGGCUGGGAUGGGGACUCUAAAGGUUGGUUAGGGUUCAGCAAAGGGUUGGACGUAUCUGAUAAAAGGAUAGGAAAUGUGAACAAAAGAUCAGGAGAUGAAAAACUACCUGUGUUAUCAAUGUUUUCCCGCAAGGAUGUGAGUUCCUUAAAUGAAAAUGAGUCCUCAUCGAAUAGGACAUGGCGAGACAAAUAAAUUCGUCUCGUGGACAGGUCCAAACAUUUAUACCCUUGAUGAUUCAGUGAGUAUCCUAAAAAUACACAUGGUUUUGACUUAGGUUGAAGUUUAUUUUGUGCAUAAGGAACAAGCCAAGGAAAACACUUGCAACCAAACACUUUUAACGUCUCAUAGUUUGGAGAUUUUUCAAACAAAGUCUCAUAGGGCGAUUUAUGAGACAAAACCCGAGUUGGCAGUCUAUUAAUUAAAUAAGUGGCUGUAGAACAAGCAUCAAACCAAUAUUUGUUCGGAAUGUGAGAGAGAGACAGCAUGACAAUACUCGUUUCAACAAUAUGGCGAUGUUUGCGUUCUGCAAGGCCAUUUUGCUCGGGAUGUUUUGGACACGAAAACCUUUGAGAAAUGCCAUGUGUUGCAAGAAAUUGUUGAAAACUAUGACUUUUGUACUCACCUCCUUCAUCACAUUGAAGGGUUUUUAUGGAAGUAUUAAACAUAUUCUCGAUCUUAGCUUUAAAUUGAACAAAUAUGGCAAACACUUCAGACUUAUUUUUCAUGGGAAAAAUCCAAGAAUACCUAGAAUAAUCAUCGACAAACAAGACAUAAUAGCAAAAACCUUCAAUUGAAAUAACUGGAGAACACCAAACAUCGGAAUGUAAAAGUUGUAAAGGAAAUUGAGAAACAGACUCUGAAGUACUAAACGGUAACUUAGUACUUUUUCCUAAAGGACACGACUGACAAAACGUUACAUCAACAAUACCAUGAAUCGGUACUUGUUUAUUUGAAAUUAAAAACUUGAUAAUAGAAGACGCAGGAUGACAAAGACGUGAAUGCCAUUUUUGAGCCGAGACUCGAAUGCCUAGACACACAGAAAUAGGGUGAUUGAACUGUCCACUGCCACCAACAAAUGGGUAUAAGCCAUUCUCACAUCUCCCGCGGAAAAGUGUCUUCCGGGUCUUGAGGUCCUUAACAAGAAAAAAAUGAGGAAAGAUGAGUAAAUAACAAUUAUUAUCUAGGGUAAAUCGGUGUGCAGAAAUAAUGUUGGUUGAGGCAGUGGGGCAUCUUAAAAUAUUUUGUAAUUUAAAUGAGCAAGAGAGAGUUGGGAUUUGAUGCGAACCCACAUGAGAGAUAGAAAGGCCAGUAUCAUUACCUACACCACCCACAUUCUGAUUACCAUUAUACUCUUUUGGGUUUACCAAAUUCUGGAUGUCGGGAGUUACAUGCGCAUUAGCACCGGUGUCCAAAAGCCACUGUCCAUUAUUCUGUCGAUUGAGAGAACCCGGAGAUGUUGCCAUGGCAGUGAGCUGUUUGCUGGAAUUCUCCCUUCAUAGGCUGCAUUCAUUCUUUGAUAACAAUCGAGAGCAGGAUGCCCUUGUUUUCCACAUAUCUGGCAGGUGAGACGUUCUCCUGUGGUAGUAAAUUUCUCACCAUUGCAGGCCGAAUUUGGCCUUGGAUUAUUGUUGUGAGGAAAGAACCCUCGCGGAUUGACAGCACCACCACCACGUGCAAACUGAAAACCACCACGUCCAGUGCCACGAAGUCGUCCACCAUGACCUCUGGCAGUGACAAAAGCAUUCACCGGAACAGCCUCCACAUGCUGAAUAGUCUGAGCAGCCAUUCGUCUCUCGGUAGUCAGGAUGAGGGCCUCAAGUAUAGGGUACGCGAUUGGAGUAUCACGUGCUUGAGCAGCACUCACUGUCAUUUCAUAUGCAGGGCCCAAAUUAUUCAAUAUAAUCUGGACAAGUUCAUCAUCAUUCACGGGGUUGCCAGCUAGGGCAAGGUUAUCAGCAAUCGAGUUCAUUCGAUCAAGAUAAUCAGCAAUAGACAUAUCACAUUUCUUAGUUUGCAUCAGUUCAUUGCGAAGGAACAAAAUACGAUUUUGGGACGUAGAAGCAUACCGUUGCUCGAGAGCCUCCCAUGUGUCAUGAGAGGACCGCUUGUUGGCGACAACAGACAACACAGAGGGCGUAAGAGAGCCAUUGAUCCAGCUUAGGAUCAUUUGAUCAUGCUGCACCCAGGUUGUGUAUGCUGGGUUGAGAGCAUCCGCACCAGGAAGAUGUUUGGGUGGGCAUACGAUGGACCCAUCAACAUAUCCCAUCAGGUUACGACUCUUGAGGAUUGGUAGGAUCUGAGCCAACCACAGAGGAUAGUUGGUUCGAUCCAGUUUGAUGUUGACAACUGUGGUCAUGGAUGAGAAAGGGUUCAGGGCAGGGUUUGAAAGAGAGGUGGUGAAGGGUGCAGUGGUGGAGGAUGCAGCGCCGUUUGCGUUAUCAGCCAUGGAAAAAAAAAUAUCAGGAUCUAAGUCGUUAGACUGCUAGGGCUCGUAUACCAUGUAAAACUUAACAACUCUUAGGGUUUCACGUCAAUUGCAUGCCUUCACAAAGAGAGGCUGCAUGUAUUUAUAGUCACAUUCAGAUUACAUCAGGGAUUGAAAUCCCUAUUUACAAGGCUGUUUCAAAGCCAAAAGUACAACAGAAACUACAAAACGUAUUACAGAAAACAACUAAAUUCGAAAGGAAGUUUGAACUAAGCUAACUCUUCUUGGAUAAGAGUUUAGGUUGAUCACAACCUCCUGAAUUUGAGGAAACCACCACCAGACGCGGACUUGGUCUAACAGUUGCUUCUACUACUCAUGGCCCUUACUACCAAAAAUUCUCAGCUCCCGCCGGCAUCAUCACAAGAUUACUUCAAAAUCAACAGCCUCCCUGACGAGUUGUUGGUUGAAAUCCUUUGUCGACUCUCAUGCAACAAGUUGGUUUCACAAUGCAAAUUCUUGUGCAAGCGGUGGUUCCUCCUCCUCUCCAAUCCUGACAUUGUUGGCCGUUUUGUAUGUCUCCAAAAGGAUAAGAAAAAUCCCAGUACCUGCGGUAUGCUGUUUUCACUGUUUUUCGCACAAAAAGAUCGCGUCGCCGCAUUUUUUACACCGAGUUCCCAAUUCCCGGAAUCUUUAAGAAGUAGGUUAUCUACUAUGAGUUUCAUCCCUUCUUUUGAUCCAAAAUGUGGUUGGAUGAAGGAUGUAUUAUCCGUGUACAAUGACCUAGUUUUAUGCUACUGGGGAUAUUCGCCUAAUGACUCGAGCAUUUACUACAUCAUUUGCAAUCCAUACACCAGCCACUGGGUUGCUCUACCUCCUGCCCCAGCAUGGCAUGAUAUUCUACCAGCGGAAUUGAUUUGCGAUCCCUACUAUAAGUUUCCGGAAGAUGAUAACAAAUCUUGUGAACAAAAUAAUAUCGUUAACGCUGAGUAUAGGUGCAAGGUUGUGCGAUUUCAUUUAUAUUUGCCAGAUCCCUUUCGAUGCAAAAUGGACAUGUUCUCUUCUGAGACCGGUGUAUGGAAAGAGCUGGUUGUAGUAUCCCCACGAGAAUUCGGUGUCUACUGCAAUGACUCCUUUCCUCGUGCGGGUUUUCCUUGCAAAGGAAAGUUGUACUGGGCAGGCACUGGUGGCGUUAUGGGGUUGGAUCCGUUGGCGUACAACGACAAUAACUCUAGUAGUGCUUGUGAUGGUCGUGAAGUUUUUGAUAAAUGUUAUUUCGUCUUGAUGAGGUUAAGCUGCCUGUACACCUUGACAAGUUCUUAUGUGAGAGUCGAGGCAUGUUAUGCCUCGUAGCGUUUCAGCACAUUUACGAAGAUGUUCGUAUCUGGGAGAUGAAAGGAGAUGUUGAGGAUGGCUGUUGUUUCACUAUUAGACAGGGGGUUUGCUUAUUGCCAAGGAUGGAACGAUCUGGUCUGUGGCGUCAGUUGUACGAUGAAGGAGAGGCCACGAGAUUGUUGCCUUUGGACUCGUUUGAUGAGGAUAUCAUGUAUCUACAGUCAAGUAGAUCGAUUUUCAUGACAUUUGUGCAAGGAAGAUACUGAAAAUUACAGACGGAGAGGUGAUACGUGUUUUACCAUUUGCGCUCCCAUGGUGGCCGACACCAGUCCCUAAAAUGGUACCACCACCAGAAGCCAUCAGUUCCUAGUAUUUUUAUUUUUUUGGGGCAAGAUAUCAAUUCAUACCAUGAACGUCUUGACAGACCUAAUUUAUUUCCGUUUCACUUCUUUGAUAUUAAUGUUUAUGAUUCUGAGUAAUGUUUGUAGAUUAAUUUCGUGUACAUUGUCGCUUGAAAUAACCGUAUUUGAAUCAUAUGAUGGCAUUGCCAAAUUGUAUGUAUUAUUUGAAAGAGAAACAUUACAUGCCACAACAGAAUUACAAAGUUUGCCUUCUGCAUAAGAUUCGUCACCGCUACACUAUUGGCAGUUUCAUAUCACAUGCUUAUUUCCAAGGGACAAAUCUCACUUCGUCACUGGCAAUCUUCGAGCAAAGCAUUAGCGUUUCAAAUAUGCUUUCCGAGGAAGGUGAGGAUCAGCUGAUUGACCUCUUCAGGCGACUGUUCUUGAACAAAAUGCGUUCCUUCGGGAAGAAAUACAAUCUCCAAAUCAGGGACAAACUCUUUGAUCUUUCCACUGUUUAUGUAAUCCUCUAUCCCUGGAAAUUUGUUAACAUAAUCCUUGCCUCCCAUUAUAAAAAGCGCCGGAGCUUUAACUAUUGGAUCUGCUACAUCGGACUCUUCUCUAAUUGCCCUAUCGAUGUGUAAAAAGAGUUCAACGGUCAUUAACGAGUAUGUGCUUACAACUUGGUCAAAUAUUGCUAGGGGUGAUCGUUCUGUCUACAUUAACAGUUCGAGUAUGUAACAGUAUGAAACCACUUGGUCAACUACAUUACCUGUAUGGAACUUGCAGCGCAGUUCGGAAACCCGAUUUCUCAUACAAAGCUCCAUAUGCGGCAAGAUCUUCCUCACAGAACCAAGGGGGAAGAGGCGUAGAUGGAUCCACUAGGUCCAUGAUCUCCUGGUCUUCUGCAGCUAUUGGUAUUUCGCUUCUGGAAAAAAGGAUGUAAACAUUCCGAACAACCGUUUUCGCAUCGAGGCGCCCAAAAUCAGCCUCUGCACGUCCAGGUUCCUGUAACAUAGGCAACAGUUAGUUGCAAACUCGCAAGAAAUUCAUGCUUGCAAUAGUAUUGAACAUAUAACAAGACCAGGUAAAUGCACACCUGCCAUCUUGAAAUGUAGAAACCUUCUGGGAGGUAGUUGCCCGUUUUACGAGGGCCUGGUGGCAUGAUUGGCAAUCCCAUUGUUACAACGCCUACGACCCUCUCGGGGUGCAGAAGAGAAAAUAAUGUCGCCACCCCAACUCCAAAAUCUUUUGCAAUUAGGAAAACCUAUGCAAAUUUGAAUACAAUUUCCAAAGCCUUAAAUCCUCAUAGCCAUUAACAUCAGAAAGUGUUCAUCCAAAAGUUGAAUACAAUUACCAACUAGCUCUCAAGUUUAGUGAUAUUUCGAAGAGAAAUGCAAAGGGGACUCUUAUCAAAAGUGGGCUCUCCAUAGACUCUUUGCACCUCAUGUUUUUUGCACAAUGUUUUAUAGUGUUGGCAUAAGAAUUGACGUUAAACUGUAAGGUGCUACGGUCUAUAGAGAGUCCCACCUUUGAGAGAGUCCUCUUAGCAUUUCUCUACUUCGAAUCCGCACUCCGAUUAUCCAAAUGAAUUAAUUUUCUUUUAAUCAAAUUAGUACUAAUGACAAGAAAAACUUCAGGGAUGCCAAAACAAAAGGAAAAAGGAGACUUGUAUUUUAUUCACCAUAUGUACCAACCUAAACAAACUGGAGAUUCCAAGAAAUAUCUAUGGAGUUAAAGGAAUUUUUUUUUUGUUAAUUUAAGCAAGUUAAUUAAUUGGAAUUAAUAAUAAUUAAGGAGAAAAAUCCGAUGAUUCUUUCCAAUAAGUACCUUGGGAAUAGCAAGGGAAUCGAGAAUUCCAAGGAUGUCACUGGCGAGGUCACGGUACGAGGUCUUCUCGGAUUGGGGAGGAGGGUCGGAUAGUCCGUAUCCGCGGUAGUCGGGAGCGAUGGCCCGGAAGCCGGCGUUGGCCGCCGCAACCAUCUGGUGCCGCCACGAGUACCAAAUUUCCGGGAAACCGUGCAGGAACACAACCACAUUGGAACCUAUGAUAAACAAAAAAAGACGGCGAUCGAUCGAUUAUGGUUGUGUUCGGUUGUGUUAAGAAUAAUAAAUACGCUACGGUGCCGGACGAGGAAUUGGGGAGGCAAAUAAUCUGACCUGUUCCGAUGUCGGCGACGUGGAGCUUCAGGCCUUGUACGGUUAUGUACUUGUGCUGGAUUUGCUCCAUUUCAGGUGGUUUUUCAGACGACAAUCACAAAGUGUACGAAAAAGAUAGAGAGAGAGAGAGAGAGAGAGAUCACUUCUGGUUCCGACAAGACAAUGUUUGGACUUGCCAAAAAUUGAAGCAGCUAGCAUCAAAUAGGAGGGCAUUUACGUCCAUAACCCAAGUUACAUUUUUAUUUUACUAUUUAUAAUUACUAGUCAUUUUUAUGUUGUUUUCCUUGGGGCUUCUCCUUAUAAUUUUUGUUUCGUUUCAGAAAAAUGAUAUUCUGACUCAUAUUUUAAUUCUAAUUAGAUAUUGUAGCUCGUAUAUCUAAUUAAAAUAUUUAAUAACUUGUGUGCCCUUGAAAAUGUUUGACAGUCUCAUUCUGUUUCUUAAAACUUCUUUUGAUUCAGUUUACUUAUUUUUUAAAAUGUGUAAAUGUGCUUUAUUUUAUCGUAUAUCGUUAGCUUCAUUAAGUUUUUUAUCAAUGUCGCUUAUGAUGACAUGUCAAAAAAGAGGACCUUUUUGUCUUUCCCCUUUUUGUCUGUCCUUUUAGUUGUGGUGUCCUUCCAUGCCCUCUUAUUUUGUACGGUCACGGUUAAAUCACGUCAACAUUUUAUAUUAAUUUUUUAAUAGAGAUAAUAAGACAAAAAUAAUAAAAAUAUAAAAUAUUGACGUGACUUAACCGUGACCGUACAAAUAAAAGAGCAUGGAAGGGCACCACAACUAGGACAACUAGGAGGGCAGACAAUCUGCCUCCCUCUCUCACACUGAUUUCUAUCUCUUGAUGGUAUUGAUUUUUGGCUAAAUAAUCUUUAAAAAAUAUGAGUUUUCAUCUUUUUUUAAUAAUUUAUGGUUCUCAUCUCCCUCCGUGAGUGAGUGGGUAAUGUUUAACUCGUACGAAAAACAGCUUCAAUAUUCAAUUACUACUACUCCAUUGCAUGAUUUUAAUUUUAAACCGCAAAUUCUUAACUAAAAGUUUUAAUGACAUUACUGUUCGUUUGUUCAAAAGUUUUUUUGGUUAAUGUUUUUCAUACAAGCAAUACUGGGGAGGAGAAAUUAAACACACGGCUCGGGAUGUAGGUAAAUCAAGUGCCCCCAGCUCUGAGCAACUCCAUCCUGAAUGAUCAAAUAUGAGCUUGUACUUCAAUUCCUUUUUUUUUCCUUAAAACAAACCUUUAAAAGUGCAUUAAUAAGGAAAAUCAAACCAACACAGAAACAAGAAAGUUCAAACAGAGAGAACAUGUUAAAAACAGAUCAAGCAGGAAGUUUCCUAACCAAAAAGACAAACUGUAUCUGCAAACUAGCUGAUUAAACCAGGAAGUUUCCUAGCUUACAUGGUCAUCGUGGUCGUCGUCAUCAUCUUGGUUGUCAUCACCCUCGUCAUUAGUAUCAUCGUCGUCGUCAUCCUCACUAUCAUCCUCAUCAUCAUUUUCAUAAUCCUCAUGAAAAUCUUCAUCAUUUUCGGUGGGAAUUUCUUCUAAGGCCCUACCGUAAGGGAUAGGAUAGUAACGAUAGUACAAACGACCUUCGAAAGUCUUGUCACACACUAAACGUACCCCUGUUUUCUUCACCAUGAACUCACUACGUAAACGUACCCCUGUUUUCUUCACCAUGAACUGAUCACUACGUAGAAUCUUUGCAAUAACGAGGACCAAAUCGCCUUCUUCGAAAUUGAACUUAUCUUCCCAUAACGGUAUAUGCCCCAGCCAAAGGUACUCUCCACCGCAAGCUGGUGGGCUCAUUAGGUCGACAAAAAAACUAGUACGCUUGGUGUGAUUAAUAACACAAAUGAAACAAGAACCAAAAAACACGCUGUCGACAUCAAUAAAAGAACGAUAAGCCAUGCACACAGCCAACGCUUUUGCAUUACAACCAAUUUCCUUAGGCACUUCGAAAGAGACUUGGGUACCCUCGUUGACAUGAUUGAACCAAGUGGGAAUUUGUCUUCCUACAAGAGUCUCAUGUAUCCAUCUCCUGUCCAUCCCUAUACCAUGUUGAACAAGAUUUGUGUGAGUAAUACAUGCAUAACACACAUAUGCGAGGGAAGGAGGAGAGGGGGUGCUGUGGAAGAGAGAGAGAACCUGUAGCGUGCUAUCCUUAAGAAGGAAAUCCAUGACAUUGUUGUGUGUUAACAUAUCAAGUCUGAGGCCCGAGUUUAACGCACUCUCCAAGCCUGGAAACUCAAUGAGUUUGGGGGAACCGAGAUACACGAUUGUCGACAUGCCUGAAAAAUCUGACAUUCUUUCUAAUGCAGAGCAGUCCUUCAUCUCCAAGAUACCCAAACUUUUUGGUAAAUCUGUGAUCUCGACAAGGUUUCUGCAACUAUCCAAGCGUAGUUCAAUAAGCAUGGACAGGUCACCGAGGCUUGGAAGGCUCCGAAAAUUAUUGUUGCCUAGAAAUAAGUACUCUAAACAAGGUAGACUACUCCCAAUAUCAUUAGGCACUUCCAUUAAAUUGCAGUGUCUCAAAGAUAACUCUGUUAAAGAGCCUAAGCCUCGUAAGGAAGGUAGCUGCAAAGGACACUUCAAGUAACUCAAAGAUAGGCACUCGAGCUUCUCCAGUCGUACGAUGGAAGGUGGUACUUUUUUUAUGGCCGUCCCAUCAGCAAAAAGAGUGACCAAUGAUGCCAUUUUUCCCAAGUGCUCAGACAAGCUUCGGAAUCUUGAACAACCAUCGAGAACAAGAGUUUUGACAGAUUUCGACUUGUAGAAAUUCCUCGGGAGAGCCUUAAGCGUUUCGCAGUCUUUCAAAUUCACCAACACAAGACUCUUGAGAUCUCCGAUGGACUUGUGAACUUUAGCCAACCUCUUACAGUCUUUGAGUAUCAAUUUCUCAAGAUUUGGGAAUUUUGAAAAGUCUGGCGAUUGUGUUAAAUCGUGGGAGUGGCUGAGAUUCAGAAUCUUCAACUUACCAAGCAACUGUUACGAAAAAUCAAAUUUAAAUAAAAAAUUUAAAUCCAAAAAGAAGAUACAGAGAGCAUAAAAAUAAUUCAUAAUUUUGUUCAGGUUACGCAUUGUACUUACCCCAGAAUACUCACAAAGAACUUGUUUGAGGCUGCUGUACCGCAUGUCGAUAGCGACUAUGUUUGGUUGACAUAGUUCUAUAGGUAUGAACUCCAAUGGGAAUCCAUGCCAGCACAACCAUCUUAAUUUUUUGGAAAGACAUUGGUAUCCCCCAGCAAGCCGAACGUAGUUUAGUUGGAGCAAUCUCAGUCCCUUCAUAUUUCUAAAUGCCUCAGUACUGAAACUAGUCUCUUCAAGGCUCAGCAUGUUCAAAGCCAGACCACCAAUUUUUUCAGUUCCCUGCUAUCCGAAAAACAGACUCUAAAUAAGAGAAGGCUUUGCAUGAAAAAAAGUUCGAUUACUUAUACUUCUCUUUCAUUACGUACACGUUUAACAUAAAGUUCAAUUGGGAAAGUACUUACAGAUUUGUCUAUCAACACAGCAUUUACAUCUUCAGGAUGCCACAAUCUACUUCGUUCUCCAGCGAAAUCAGGAUUUUCUGCAUGCACGAUAUCUCUGCCCAUAUCGCGAAGCAAAUCAUGCAUCAUCAUCUUGUUUUUGCCAUUAAUAGUUACAAGGCACCGAUCAAGGAGGACCUUGAUUCCUGCUGUUGCAUAAAGGCCACAACCAUCCAAGAUUUGUAUGACAUCAUUCUUGUCCAUUCCGAUAAAAAAACAAGCUAUAUCAAGGAAUAUCCCCCUCUCGUAAUCAUCAUUUAGCCCGUCGUAGCUUAUUUUCAGCUGUGCCUGAAUUUUUCCAGGAGGAAUUAUUUUCAAUUUAUCCAAUAUACUUUUCCAUUCUACUACACUUCCUUCGAAAAGAGUAGAUCCUAAAAUUUGAAGAGCCAACGGCAGUCCUCCACAGUAAUUGACAACUUCUUUUGCAAGCUCGAGAUAUUUACUAGGACAACAACUACUUCUGAAAGCAUGCCAACUUAGGAGCUCAAGAGCUUCUUUUCGAUCCAUUCUUUUUGCCGGAAAUAUCAUAUCAACUGCUAAUUGUUUCAGUAUAUGUUUGUUUCUUGUUGUGAUGAUAAUUCUGCUCCCCGGGCCAAAAGAGUGGCGAUUUCCAGCUAAUUCGUGUAGCUGCUUCACAUCGUCUACAUCAUCAAAUAUGACAAGUACCUUUAAGCAUUGAAAUCUUUCCCCUACCAAGGCGGUCCCUGCAGCAACACUGCUUACCUUUGUCUUGGUCGUUUGCAAGAUAUCAAAAAGAAGUUGUUUUUGCAAUUUUUCUAGUUUCUUUUCCCUCACUUUUUCAAGGAAACUUUUACCUUCAAACAUUUCAUAAAAUUUGUUAUAAAUGGCUUUUGCAAUCGUUGUUUUACCUAUUCCACCCAUACCUGUAAUUCCAAUCACGCGAACAUCAUCCGAACAUCCGAUGCCUAAACAUUUACUGAUAUCUAGCACUCGAGAAUCUAUUCCGACUGGGUAGGGCGCUACGUCUAAAUAUUUGUUGUUCAGCUUCGUAGUGACUUCAUUAGUAAUCAUCCUGAUAAACUUUGCUUCAUGCCUGGCAUUAGUGAAGUUGAGAAGCAAAACGAAGAUUGUUAUACAACUACAAGACGAAAUUGAACUAAUACACAAAAUUAUUUAUCAUGAUUAGAGAUUUUAAUUAAGACAAUUUUCUUUGAGGUGUUGUGCUUAAACUUAGCAGACAUCAAUUAAACUUAAAAUUAAAUAAGAAACACAAACAAACAAAACCAACAUCCCCACCGCAGGCAUUCGCCGGCGGCUUCCCAGCUGUGACUAGUGUAGCCUUAACAGUUUAAGCUUUAUUGUAUGAUUUUAUUAAAAGAGGUCUAAGAAAUCGCAUGCUUCCAAAUUAAUAAGCAAAGGUACGUUAAAGCCUUAAUUCAUAAGAAAAGAAAUUAGUAAGUACCCGUCCAAAGUGUUUCUGAGAUCCCAGCCAGACAAAUUCGAAGCUUCAUUAAGAGCGGUUCUCCACCUCUCUAACUUCCACCUCUCUACCUUCUUUUCAUCUGUAUGUUUCAGAAACGAUUGUGCAAAACUACCAUUCUGUUUCCUGACAUGGGAAGGAUCAACGUCAUAGAAUAUUGGCAAAACUAAUUGCCCUAGCGUUCUUCUACAUUCCAUGAUCUUAACCAGCUCCUCGAGACACCAACUGGAGUCCGCGUACCAUUUUGAGAAGACGAUGAUAGAGAUCCUAGAACCCUGGAUUGCCCGCACAAGUUCGGUAGUUAUAUCUUCUCCUCUUCUUAGUUCUUCGUCGUCAAUAAAGGCGUUGAUUCCGGCCUUUGUCAAUGCUUCGUGGAGGUGGCCCGUGAAGUUUUUACGUGUGUCUUCGCCUCUGAAGCUUAUGAACACUUCGUAAAGCGAGCCUUUUGAGGAGGACGAUGACGAGGAGGCAGAGGAGAACGAUGAGGAUGAGGAUGAGGGCAAGGAGGUGGAGGAGGCAGAGGAGGAAGAUGAGGAUGAGGGUGAGGGCGAGGAGGCGGAGAAGGACGAUGAGGAUGAGGGCAAGGAGGAGGACGAGGACGAGGCUUUAUCGGGGAUGGAGAUAUUCAUUUGGCGAAAGACGAGGCCGAGGGAGCAGAGGAGGAAGAUGAGGACAUCAAAGACAAGACUGGAAUUGCGAGCCACAAAGUGGUAGGGCACUAACACCAGCACCAGAGUUAACAACUUCCCUAAGCUCAACCAAGAUAUAUCGCGGAAUAUCUCCCUCUCGUAGUCAUCAUUCAACCCUUUGUAACUUAUUUUCAGCUGUUCCUGAAUGUUAUCAAGAGGAAUUUCUUUCAAUUUAUCCAAUGUACUUUUCCAAUCUCCUAUGCUUCGGUUGAACAGGUUAGAACCUAAAACUUGAAGAGCCAAUGGCACUCCUCCACAGUAAUUGACAACUUCUCUUGCAAGCUCAAGAUAUUGACUAGGACAACAACUACUUCUGAAAGCAUGCCAAUUUAGGAGCUCAAGAGCUUCUUCUCGUUUCAUUUCUAUCGCCGGAUAUACCAUAUCAACUGCAAAUUCUUUUAACACAUGUUCGUUUCUUGUUGUGAUGAUAAUUCUGCUCCCCGAGCCAAAAGAAUGGCGAUUUCUAACUAAUUCCUGUAGCUGCUUCACAUCGUCUACAUCAUCAAAUAUGAAAAGUACCUUUAAGCGUCGAAAUCUUUCCCCUACCAAGGCGGUCCCUGCAGCAACACUGCUUACUUUUGUCUUGGUGGUUUGCAAGAUAUCAAAAAGAAGUUGUUUUUGCAAUUUUUCUAGUUUCUUUUCCCUCACUUUUUCAAGGAAACUUUUACCUCGAAACUUGUCAGAAAAUUGAUUAUAAAUGGCUUUAGCAAGCGUUGUUUUACCUAUUCCACCCAUGCCCAAAAUUCCAAUCACCCGAACAUCAUCUGAAUCUCCGAUGCAUAAAUAAUUACUAAUAUCUUGCACUCGAGAAUCUAUUCCGACUUGGUAGGGCGCUACGUCUAAGUAUGUGUUGUUCAGCUUCCUAGUGACUUCCUCAGUAAUCAUCCUGAUAAACUUGGCUUCAUGCCUGGCAUUAGUCAAGUUGAGAAGCAAAACGAAGAUUAUUAUACAACUACAAGACGAAAUUGAACUAAUACACAAAAUUACUUAUUAUGACUAGAGAUUUUAUUUAAGACAAUCUUCUUUGAGGUGUUGUGUUUAAACUUAGCAAACAUCAAUUAAAAAUUCAAAUUAGAAACACAAACAAACAAAACCAGCAUCUCUUCCCUCUGCAGCCAUUCGACGGCGGCUCUCCUGCUGUGUUAGUGUAAGCUUAACAGUUGAAGCUUUAUUGUAUGAUUUUAUUAAAAGAGGUUUAAGAAAUCUCAUGCUUCCAAAUUAAUAAGAAAAGGCACGUUAAAGCCUAAAUUCAUAAGAGAAGAAAUUAGUAAGUACCCGCCCAAAGUGUUUUGGAGAUCCCAGCCAGACAAAUUCGAAGCUUCAGUAAGAGCAGUUCUCCACCUCUCUUCCUUCCAUCUCGCUACCUUCUUUUCAUCUAUAUGUUUCAGAAACAAUUGUCCAAAACUGUCAAUCUGCUUCCUGACAUGCGAAGGAUCAAUGUCAUAGAAUGCCGGCAAAACUAAUUGCCCCAGCGUUCUUCUACACUCCAUGAUCUUAACCAGCUCCUCGAGGCACCAGCUGGAGUUCGCAUAUUGUCUAGAGAAGACGAUGAUAGAGAUCUUGGAACCUUGGAUUGCCCGCUCAAAUGCGGUUGUUAAUUCUUCUCCCCUUUUUAGUUCUUCGUCGUCAAUAAAAGCAUUGAUUCCAGCCUUUGUUAAUGCUUCAUAGAGGUGGCCCGUGAAGUUUUUACGUGUGUCUUCGCCUCUGAAGCUUAUGAACACGUCGUAGAGCGAACCUUUUGAGAAGGAGGACGAGGACAAGGAGGCGGAGGUGGACGAUGAGGAUGAGGAUCCGGGUGAGGAGGAGGAGGACGACGAGGCUUUAUUGGGGACUGAGGCAUUCACUUGGUGAAAGACGAGGCCGAGGGAGCAGAGGAGGAAGAUGAGGACAUCAAAGACAAGACCGGAAUUGCGAGCCGCAAAGUGGUAGGACACCAACACCAGCACCAAAGUUAACAGCUUCCCUAAGCUCGACCAGGUAUCCAUUUCCUUCAUUUUCUUUAGGCAAAUUGAAGGUUUUUGGAGAGGAUCCUCUCCGGACCCAAACCCACCGGAGCCUCCGGAUCUUCCUCCUUCUUCCUUCUUCUCUGCAGAUUUCCUUCUUCCUUCUUCUCUGCAGAUUUGGUUCUGCUUCUUCUUCAAUUCUUCUUCUUCAAUUAUGCAUCUUCUUCUUCACUUCCUUCUUCCUUCUUUGUUUGUGUAUCGGAAAACUUUCUUCUUCAAUUAUGCAUCUUCUGCAUCUUCUCCGACAACCAGCUCCGAGGAAGUCACGACGCCGGCUUCGGGAAAGCACGACGCCGGCUCCGGGAAAGCCCAAGAUGCCGACGAAGACGGAUCCGGAUGCUCCGGUGGGUUUGGGUCCGGAGAGGAUCCUCUCCCAAGGUUUUUGGCGAUAUUGAUUUUCUUUCCGUUCUGCCGGAACUACUUUCUUCUUCUUAUGAUUAAUAAACCCGUCAGCCCAUGAGGCUGGGCCCCAUUUCCCUCAGCCUUUUCCUUUUUCCUUUACUUUUUUCUUCUUUUUUGGCGAUUUUCCUUCACUUUUGGUCAAUCAUGUGCGUUUUCAUUGGACGGAGGACUAUGCAUGUUGGGUGAUCGCCAAACGGCUGGAAAAAAUUUAUAACCAAGCGGACAUUUUUUUUUUCUCUGAUGUUCAACUGCAAGCAGAAAUUCUGUUAGUUUAAAGGAUUUAAGGAUUAAGUGCAUUUUUUAAAGAGGAUUAGCUUGGAAGGGAUAACUAAGCAUAUUUAAAAGAUGAGUUAAAAUGUCCACAUCAGCAAUAACAGUAAAAAAAUACAGCAUUAGUGUCAGCAACUUCAAUUUUUUUUUAACAAACGAUAUUAUCAGGAAUGUCUCACAAUAAGCUAAUAAUAAUGUGGUUCAAACUUUUAUUCUUACUUUUUGUUCUAAAUACUUAUUAAAAUCAUGAAAAAUAAAUAAUAUAAUAAAAAGUGGUUUAAAUUUGACAUAUCAGAUGAAGAAUAAAAUUUUAAAAAAAAAUCAAAGUGCCACAUAAGCUUUCAAAUUUAAAAUCUACUUUGGAAAUGAACAAAUCAGUUGUUUUUUUUAUGGAUUUCUUUAUAGAUAAUGUUGGCGGUAUUAGAAAAUUUUAUUAACAUGAAAAAAAAUAUACUUAAUCAAUGGACAUAAACCUUAACCCUUAAUUUGGUCCAAGAUAUUAUUAGAGAAUUCCCACUUGAUUUGGUCCCAUAUAAUUUUAUUUUCCCUGCUAGCAAGAUUAUGAAUUCCAACUAUCUUUAGUUUUGUUGGAAUAAUUUCCCUAGCCAUAAUACAAAAUUAAGAAUACCAACUUUGCUUUUGUUUUUUUCGGCUAAAACAAUAAAAAAUAAAUAAAAAAAUCAAGAUCAAAGAAAAUGAUAGGAAAGAGCAACAGUGACACACCCCGUCCCGAAGGAGGGCAUGCUGGCCGUCACGUGAGAGUGACGUAACCAUUUGCACAGUACGGAAGCUUUAAUUAUACAAUUUAUAAGUUGAUACACCCGAAGGUGAGUCCUAAUUUUGUCCAAUCUGUCAGAACCCCGCUGUAUUCCUCGUAGUCACCACACCUUUGUGAUUCCUGAACCUGGAGGGGCGCAAAACCAAAAUUGAGUGGGUCAGUAAAACAAUUCUUUUCCAAAUCCAAACAUUUCUCAAAACGUUGUAACCCCUCUCCGUAAAACCUGUAUACUUUCCCAGAAAUGUAAAAUAUAAAUAUACAUAUAUAUUCUCAAAACUUCAUUUUUACUAUCUCAACAUUAUCUCUUUAUCAAUCAUGCCAUGCCAUGUCAUCUCAACAUUUCUCAUAUUAAUUAUGCCAUGCCACAUCAUCUCAACAGUAAUAAGGUAUGAAUGCAUCAACAUAAUCAUAUCAGGUGCAAGAAAGUAAUCAACCGUAGGCCCUCUAAUAGCCCUAUACGGUUGAACCUAGAGCUCAAAAUCUAUCAUUAUCACUCUACCGGAGUCACCUCUGUGACCCGUCCGGCCUUCUGCACACAAGUUACGCUCUAGUGCUUCUCAUAAAUCAUCUGUGCACAUAAUCUAAGGUCACCCACCAGUCGGAAUCUCACUAACACUCUCGCGACUGGUCUGUCGUACCCACUCCGCGUGGACUGUACGACUAGCAUCUACUUGGAUCCAAGGCGAGCGUGCGAUGCGGUGAAUACUAUAAGCACUAAACCAUGGUGCAGGAUUUGAGCUCAAUAUAUAUCAUCAUCAUCAUAACAGUAAUUAAAUACUCAUCUGUGCGUCCACCGCACCAUUUCAUACAUAUGCAUCAUAAAUCAAUUCUUACAUGUGCGUCCACCGCACCAAUUCAUACAUAUGCAUCAUAAAUCAAUUCUUACCUGUGCGUCCACCGCACCAAUUCAUACAUAUGCAUCAUAUAUUAAUUCAUGCAUGGCAUUUCAACUCACAUUUUUUAUAUUACUUUUCAUAUCAAUUCUAUGCAUGGUAUUUCACUUCCCGUUUUUCCACAUAACUCAUAUGCAUUUCAUUUUAAACAUAAUUUCAUGCAUUUUCAAUUUCUGGGAAAACGUUAAGUAUAUAUAUAUAUACGGAAAACAAAACUGCCCACUCACCUGGAGUUCGUUCCAACAACUCCCUAGCACCACACAUCAAAGGCGUCACGACGAUCGCCGCCUAGAAAUAGUAAUCAAAUCCAACCUCAGAAUUCAUAUCGAUAGAAUAUAUAUAACUUAUAUAAAUACGUCACUACGUAGUUCGAUCCGGAAGAUCUGCCACUCAGAUUUUAAAAUCCAUAACUUCCAGAGGUCCACAAUAUAUCUCUAGGAUAACAUCCUAAAAUUUCAUUACCAUCCAACGGUCGGAUCUCCGUCAAUUUCCAAAAACUAAGUGACGGUUAACAUUUUAUAUUAUGGACUUACAAUUCCAAUUCCGGAAGAUCCGUAACUCGGAUUUCCCAAUCCGUAAGUUCCAAUAAUCCUCAAAUAUUACGUAUUACAACGUAUCAAAGUUUGGUGACGAUCCAACGGUCGGAUCAUCAAUUCACAUUUUCACCUAAAUGUGAAAACUAUAAAACGUUAUUUGAACACCUAACCAACAAUCCUCAAUAACUUUCUCAUACGGUGUUCAAUUUAGGUAUAUGAAUAUACCACAGUGAUCUACUCGACGUCACGGACGUCGACAUAUUUUUAAAAUAAUUUUAUUUUUAUUUUAUUUUUAUUUUUACUGUAGCACCUUCUUCCUCCUUGGGUCGCCGGACUGGUUUUUCCGGCGGCCGUUUUCCGGGCAGUUUUUCAAAUUGCCAUAACUUUGUCAUUUCUCAACGAAAUCAAGUGAUUCAAAAACAAAAGUUGUAGCCCUUGAAGAGACAAAGAGAAUGGUACCUUGCACAACACCUAUUUCGCCGUGGUUUGGCCGGAAACUGCCUCGAAAGCCUCGGAGGUCGCCGGAAACUGGGUAUUUUUCAAAUGAGUAUAACUUCUUCAAUACUCAACGAAAUUGAGUGAAACAAAAAGGAAAGGUGUAGUAAUUGACGAGACGAAGAGAUUGAUACCUACUUCGACUCCUAACUCGCCGGGGAUUCGCCGGAAAACGCCUCGAAAGCUCCGGCCAAACUUUGAACUUGUCGAUCUCCGUGUUCUUACGUCCAAAAACUUCCAACGAAAGCACUCCGAGCUUCCUUGGGACCUCACUAAGCUUGCUAUGAUCUUAUUUUGGCCUAAAACACAACCACUUCAAAGAUCAUGAACAGUACACAUUCACGGGGUCUUUAGAACUAGGGUUUUUCGAAAUGAAACUUACCUGAAAAUGGUACCUACGUGAUCGUGAAGUCCUCAGGGUUGCAAUGGUAGUCUUAACUUGGACGUUGGUAUAGGUUUUAGGUGGUUUUGGUGGUUGCCCGUGCGUUCGAGAAGAAGAGAGAGAAUGAGAGUUUCUGAGGAAGAGAGAGAGUAUGAAGGACAGUAUACGGGAAAUGGGGAGGGUUUUGAGGUGUGGGGAUCUCACAUGUCCAAACCAAUCCCAAUUUCAUAAAAUUCCAUCAUAAAAUUUAAGUCUAAGUCUCCACUCCAAUUACCAAAUUUUUUUGGAGCUUAGAUAUAACGAACGUGAAAAUUAUACCUUAGUCACGUAUUAGGGACAUUUCCGUAAUUUCAUGUCCUCGGAAUUAAAAAUUCCGGCACGGGCUGUGACAAACAGCUUGCAUAUGUAUAGUUUAUAUGACAGUGAAUCAUAUGCUUUUGCUUAUAUCUUUAUUUUAUUUUUAUGAGUUCGUGUUUGUACCAAGAUAGCUGUCAAUUUAAGAUUAGUAUUGAAUGGCUCUAUAAUAAACAGCCCAACUUUCCAAGAUCCGGAAUCAAGUGGGUCUAAAGAAUUGCAUAGCUUGGGUUAUCAUCUUGAGGACCCAUAUCAUCUGGAUCAGACCAAGGCCAACGCCCACCGUACAUAUUGAGCCUAUGCCACUUUUCGGCUGGAGAAUGGAGUUCAAACACUUGGAUUAACAAACCACCAACAUCUGCACAUAUAGGCCGGGGCAUAUUUUGUAUAGCCCAUCGAAAAAAAAGAGAUUGUAACUAUAUGAGAUUUCAGGUUGUGAUUAACACUAACAAAUUAACUAAAACGAAUGUGUAGAAUUUUAAGCAACCAGUUAACAAGAAAGUUAAUCCUCUGACUGAAUAAAGUUGCAGGCAUUGAGUUUAGCAGCAUUAUUAACAAGGAAGAGCAUAAACCAUGCAACUCCAUCAUCAUGCAUGAGUGGUAUUUUUGGAAAUACAAACAUACCUGCAUAUGAGGGUCCUAAUUGUCAUGAAAAUCUAUAAGCAUCUUAAAAAAAAAAAAAAAAAUUCUCACUCAUAUAUCUGUUUCAAAUUUAUAUAGACAAUAAUCAAAGGGCUCAAUUACUAGUGCACCUUUGAAAGUGUGAAAAAAAUCUCAUCCUGCCUCUUGAAACUUAUUUUGAUCCAAUUUACUUACUUUUUAAAAUAUGUAAAUGUGUCUCAUUUUAUCGUAUAUUGUUGGUUUCAGUAAGUUUUUCUUCAAUGUCGGCUCACGUUAACGUGUCAUCCAUGUGUCAAAAGAUAGAGUACCUUUUUGUCUUUUCCGGUUCUCCAACUCAAUACAAGUCAGUUCUUCUCCUUCACUUCUUUAGCUCAUUUCACUCUCCCUUUCUAUCUCUCACUGAUUUCUAUCUCUUGGUCUUUUUGACUUUUGGCUAAAUAAUGUUUAAAAAGUAUGAGUUUUCACCUUUUUUAUAAUUUGUGAUUCUCUUGUCCACAUGUCAGUGAGAGAGUUAUGUUUAACUCAUAUAAAUGACAAGUUUGAUAUUCAGUUAUUACUUUCUUAUUGCGUGUCUUUAACCGCAAAUUCAUAUCUCAAUAAAGCGUGCAACAAAUCAAGUCUUACUGUAGUAUUUGAGAAACAUUAUAUGUUAAAAUUACAAAGCAAUCUUUUGUAUAAAUUAAGAUAAAAUAUUGUUCAGAUUAUCGAAUCACAUGCAUAAUUUCCCAGUGAUUCAUAUAAAACCUCAGCAAAGCCUUCUAUAAAUAACACUUCGUCUCUGGCAAUCUUCACACAAGCAUUAGCAAUCAAACGUGCUUUUCAAGGAAGGUAAUGAUAAGCUAAUUAACCUUGUUCGGCGACUGUUCUUGAACGAAAUGCGAUCUUUAGGACAUGAAUUGAAUCUCCAAAUUGGGGACAAACUUUUCACCCUCCCAAUGUCGAUGUAGUAAUCUAUCCCUGGAAAUUUGUUUACAUAAUCCUUGCCUCCCAUUAUAUAAAGUGACGGAACUUUAACAAUUAGAUUCGUCAAGCCGAAUUCUUCUCUAAGUGCCCUACCAAUACAUAACGUAAAGUUCAAGAAAUCAUUAACAUGUACUUACCACUUGAAUCCAAGUUAGCAGGGUUAAACUAAUUUCAAAUGAUAAGUCUGAUGAUUCGAUAAUAAUGUUUUUUUCAUUAACUCUUCUAGUAUGCGGAAGUAGUAGUGAUUCGAAGAUCAAAUGCGUUACCUAUACGGAAUGUGCAGUGCAGUUUGGAAGCCCGAUUUCUCAUACAGAGCUCCAUAUGCAGCAAGAUCUUCCUUGGUGAACCAAGGGGGAAGAGGGUCAAAUGGAUCCACCAAGUCCAUGAUCUCCUGGUUUUCUACAGCUAUUGGUAUUUUGCUUCUGGAGAAAAGGAUGUAAAUGUUCCAAACAACUGUUUUCGCAUCAAAGCGCCUGAAAUCAGCCUCUGCCCGGCCAGGUUCCUAUAGUAGUGGUAACAGUAAGUUGUAACUUGUAAGCAAGCUAGUCAUGGCAUAGAUAUGGACAACAAGACCAAGAAAAUACACACCUGCCAUCUUGAAAUGUAUAAGCCCUCAGGGAGCUUUUUAACGAAUUUUAGAAGGCCUAGUGGCACGAUUGGCACUCCGAUUGUUAUAACUCCCAAGACCCUAUCUAGGUACGCAAGGGCAAAUAAGUACGUUGGCCGACCUCCAAAAUUCUUUUCCCACGAGGAAAACCUACGUAAAAUUUAUGAUCAAACGUGUUACAUUGCAAUUCUCUUAAGCUUUUACUGCAUAAUAUGAUUAGCACAUAAGGAAAUAUAAGUGUUAUAAUCCUUCAAACAAUAAGCUUUUCAUUUGCCGGAUAAACAACAAAGCAAAUAAAUGCACGUUGUAGUGAUUUUACACUCUCAUUCUCCUACUACACUCUCCUGUUUUUUGUAUCCUUGAACUCUUCUUUGAUUUAUUCAAUCCAUUAUGAACAAAUGCGCGCAAAAAAUGGGAGUUUGGAAAUCACAAAUGUCAUCUUUACAACAAAUUGCUUUUUCAAUCAAACUUGUAAUAACAACCAAACAAUGAUUAAUGAAAAAAAGAACCAACUUUCAAAUUUGAAGCUCAUUUUCUAGCCAAAAUUUAAAAAAAAAAAGGCCAAAAAUUAAAAACAAAAAAGUGUAUCUGAAAAUUUUGUACCUUAGGAAUAGCAAGGGAAUCGAUAAUUCCAAAGACGCCACUGAUGAGGUCGCGGUAGGAGGCUUUGUCUGGUUGGGAAGGCGGGUCGGAGAGUUCGUGUCCGCGAUAGUCGGGAGCAAUGGCUCGGAAGCUGGAGUGGGCGAGACCAAUCAUUUGGUGCCGCCACGAGUACCAAAUUUCAGGGAAAUCAUGUUGUUUCCAUGCAGUUUCUCAAAAACCUAAAAAAAAAUCAGCGAGUCGACUCAGCGAGUUCACUAACUUUCCUAAAAUAGGCAAAACUGUUUCAAAUUGUGCAAGCUCUUUAAAUUCAGCGGCUUUUCAUGCUUUUGUCUGCCGCAAUUGGAUUAUCCAGAGAGAUUUGACUGCCGAAGCCCUCAGAUUUUUUCAGGUGAUUGAUUUAUUCUUCUUGUAGUUGCCCUUUGUUUGUUCGAAUACCACAAAUUUGACUACUUUCUUUGUAUUUCUUGCUGAGAUUUUUUGUUUUUUUUGGUUGGUUUUAAGAAUUAAAAUCGGUUAAUACUAAAUACCAUUUUGGGUUUUGAGCGAGAUCUGUUGUAAUGUGCAGAGAUUAAGAAUUAAUAUUGUCUGAAAUUCAGAAAUUGUAAUUCUGGGAUUUGGUUGUUUGAGCUAGAAAUUUUGGGAAUUUGAGCAAUGGGUGUUCAAUACAGUCCUAGGGUUUGAAAGGGGAUAUUGGUUUCAAGAAGGUUUUCGACACGUUACCAAUGUCUUGGGGUUAGUUUUGAGCUGGAAAUUUUGAUAAUUAAAGAAGUGGGUGUUCCAUGUACAAUCUUAGGGUUGAAAGGAGGUUUUUUUUGGGGGAAAUUUUUUCGAUUUGUUGCCAUUGUGUGAGUCGGUUUUGAGCUGGGAAUUUAGGGAGUUUAAGCAAUGGGUGUUCCAUAUACAGUGUUAGGGUUAAAAGGAGAUGUUGUUUUCGAGGAAUGACUUAGAUGGGUUCAUAGAGGAUGAAGUUGAGCACCUGAUAUAUCUUGUGUUUCUUCAGUGUGAAAUUGUGAAUUAUUAGCCGUCAUCAAAAUUGUUAGUAGCAGAUUAGAAUUUUUAGGUUUCAAAAUUUUUGUUACAAACUAAUGUGUUCACUAUCAAGUUGAAGUAGUUUUGAACCAACAGAUGGUAAUAAUAUGUUGAUGAUUUUAUCUUCUUUUCGAAUGCUGACAUUAUGAGUUAUUCAGGAAUGCGAGUAAAACACCAAAACAUACCACAAGGGACAUGGGAUAAUGGCAGAAUUAGAAAAUUUGCUCUUGGAGGCCGCGGGAAGAACAAGUUCAUCGGGGAAAAACCGACACUCACAUUCAUCAGCUAGGAGGAGACAUGGAGGUUCAUAUUCUGAUGGAGGAAGUGACUCCAGAGGUGAUGAUUUUGACGAUGGUUGUGGCUAUGCAAGCGGGAAGCCCUCUGGACCUCAAGUUCACUUGAAGAAGAGGCUGGACCCAACAGAAAUAGACGAUGAACAGGGUAGCCAGGAAGAAUGUGGUUAUAACGAUAGUGGUUCGGAUCGUGGGGGGGACAACAAUGAAUUUGAUGUUGGCAGUGAUCUUUUCAAGGAUGAAGAUGAUAGGCGGAAGCUUGCAGAGAUGUCUGAACUUCAAAGAGCUAAUUUUGUCUGAAAGAGCACAGAAGAAAGAUGACAAGAGCUUAAAGGAGAAGUUCCGACCAAAGUGGGAUAAAGGGAAGACCCUACAGUCCCGGAAAGAGACUCCACCUCUUCCAUCCUCUCGGGUGCGUUCAUCAGCUAGAUCUGCUGACAGGGCAGCUGCCAAGGAUGAUGCAUUGAAUGAGUUACGAGCAAAACGUUUGAAGCAGCAGGACCCCUGAGGCUCACCACAAGUUGAAAGAUGCUUCUAGAGGAGGAAGUUCAAGCAGUCGAAGUUUCUAAAGCAUAAUUUUGAGCUGCCAAUAUCAUUGGUUGCUCUUCAGAAGUUUGGCAGGCCAUAGGGUGCUCAGAAAGGGUUCCUGGAGAAGACGGGAUGAGGCAUGCGCUGACGCUUACAGUUGGCGACUACAUGAGAAAAUUAGGGCUUCUCUAAACAUAUUAUAACCUUAAAUGCGUUAAAAAGUUGAAUUAAAUCACCACAGAAACAAGAAAGUUCAAACAAAGAGAACAUAUUACAAACAGAUCAAGGCACGCAAAAAAAUACAGACUCUAUCUACAAACUAGCUGAUAAAACCAGAAAGUUUACUAGCUUACACAGUCGUCGUCGUCGUCAUCAUCCUCAUCAUUAGCAUCACCGUCUUGGUCCUCCUCAUCAAAAUCCUCAUUGUCGUUGUCAUCAUCCUCAUCAAAAUCAUCUUCAUAUUCAUCAUCAAAAUCAUCAACUUCAGUAAAAGCUUCUUCUAUGGCCCGUUCGUAAGGGAUAGAAUGGUAAAGAAAUAACGAACCUUCGAAAGUCAUAAGUUUGUCGCAUACUAAACGUACCCCUAUUUUCUUCACCACGGUAGUUGGACAAUGUACAAUAACAUGAACCAAAUCGCCUUCUUCCAAAUUGAACUCAGUUUCCGACAACGAAAAAUUUCCAAGGCAAAGGAUUUCUUGAAAGGAAAAAACAUGUCCUAUACAGACAUAAAAACUAGUACCCUUGGUGUGAUUAAUAACAUAAAUAAAAGACGCCCGCUCAAAAUCAAUCGAGCUAACGUCAUCAUAAGGAACCAAAGCCAGGCACACAGCUAACGUUUUUGCAUUACAACCAAUUUCAUUAGGCACUUCAAAAGAGACUUGGGUACCUUCGUUGACAUAAUUGAACCAAGUGGGAAUUUGUCUUCCUACAAGAUUCAUAUAUCCACUUCCUGUCCAUCCCUAUACCAUGUUGAACAAGAUUUGUGUGAGUAAUACAUACAUAACAAAUAACACACAUAUUUGCGAGGGAGGGAGGAGGGGGGUGGUGGUGUGGAAGAGAGAGAGAGUACCUGUAGCGUGUUAUCCUUAAGAAGGAAAUCUAUGACAUUGUUGUGUGUGAACAUAUGAAGUUUGAGGCCCGAGUUUAACGCGCUAUCCAAGCCUGGAAACUCAAUGAGUUUGGGGGAACCAAGAGACACGGAUGUCGACAUGCCUGAAAAAUCUGGCAUUCUUUCUAAUGCAGAGCAGUCGUCCAUCUCCAGGAUAUCCAAACUUUUUGGUAAAUCUGUGAUCUCGACAAGGUUUCUGCAGCCAUUCAAUUUUAGUGCAUGAAGCAUGGAGAGGUCACUGAGGCUUGGAAGGCUCCGAAAAUUAUUGUUAUCUAGAAAUAAGUACACUAAACAAGGUAGACUACUCCCAACAUCAUUAGGCACUUCCAUUAAAUUGCUGUCUACCAAUUGUAAAUCUGUUAAAAAGUGUAAGCCUCGUAAGGAAGGUAGCUGCAAAGGACACUUCAAGUAACUCAAAGAUAAGCAAUCGAGCUUCUCCAGUCAUACGAUGGAAGCUGGUACUUUUUUUAUGGCCGUCCCAUCAGCAAAAAGAGUGACCAAUGAUGCCAUUUCCCCAAGUGCUCGGACAAGCUUCGGAAUCCUGAACAACCAUUGAGAACAAGAGUUUUGACAGAUUUCGACUUGUAGAAACUCCUCGGGAGAGCCUUAAGCGUUUCACAGUCUUUCAAAUUCACCAACACAAGACUCUUGAGAUCUCCGAUGGACUUGUGAACUUUAGCCAACCUCUUACAAUCUUUGAGUAUCAAUUUCUCAAGAUUUGGGAAUUUCGAAAAGUCUGGCGAUUGUGUUAGAUCGUGGGAGUGGCUGAGAUUCAAAAUCUUCAACUUACCAAGCAACUGUUAAGAAAAAUCAAAUUUAAAUAAAAAAUUUAAAUCCAAAAAAAAGAUACAGAGAGCAUAAAAAUAAUUCCGAACUUGGUUCAGGUCACACAUUGUACUUACCCCAGAAUACUCACAAAGAACUUGUUUGAGGCUGCUGUACUGCAUGUCGAUAGCGACUAUGUUUGGUUGACACAGUUCUAUUGGUAUGAUCUCCAAUGGGAAUCCAUGCCAGCACAGCCAUCUUAAUUUUUUGGAAAGACAUUGGUAUCCCCUAGCAAGCCGAACAUAGUUCAGUUGGAGCAAUCUCAGUCUCUUCAUAUUUCUAAACGCCUCAGUACUGAAACUAGUCUCUACAAGACUCGGCAAAUUCAAAGCAAGACCUUCAAUUUUUUCAGUUCCCUGCUAUCAUAAAAAACAAACUCCAAAUAAGAGAAGGCUUUGCAUGAAAAAAAGUUAGAUUACUAACUUACAUAUGCUUACAUGUUUAAUAUAAAGUUCAAUUGGGAAAGUACUUACAGAUUUGUCUAUCAAUACAUCAUUUACAUCUUCAGAACGCCACAAUCUACUCCGUCCUCCAGGGAAAUCGGGAUUUUCUGCAUGCACAAUAUCUCUGCCCAUAUCCCGAAGCAAAUCAUGCAUCAUAAUCUUGUUUUUUCUACCAAUAGUUACAAGGCACCGGUCAAGGAGGACCUCGAUUCCUGUAGUUGCAUAAAAGCCACAACCAUCCAAGAUUUGUAUGACAUAGUUCUUGUCCAUUCCGAUAAAAAAAAAAGCUAUAUCGAGGAACAUCCGCCUCUUGUAAUUAUCAUUUAGCCCGUCGUAGCUUAUUUUGAGUUGUGCCUGAAUUUCUCCAUGAGGAAUCAUUUUCAAUUCAUCCAAUAUACUUCUCCAUUCAUCUACACUUCGUUUGAAAAGAGUAGAUCCUAAAACUUCAAGAGCCAGCGGCAGUCUUCCACAGUAAUUGACAACUUCGCUUGCGAGCACAAGAUAUUGACUAGGACAACAACUACUUCUGAAAGCAUGCCAACUUAGGAGCUCAAGAGCCUCUUCUCGGCCCAUUCCUUCUGCCUGAUAUAUCUUAUCAACUCCAAAUUCUUUUAGCACACGUUCAUUUCUAGUUGUGAUGAUGAUUCUGCUCCCCGGGCCAAAAGAGUGGCAAUUUCCAGCUAAUUCGCGUAGCUGCUUCACAUUGUCUACAUCAUCAACUAUGACAAGUACCUUUAAGCGUCGAAAUCUUUCCCCUACCAGGGCAGUCCCUGCAGCAACAUUGCUUACUUUUGUCUUGGUGGUUUGCAAGAUAUCAGAAAGAAGUUGUUUUUGCAAUUUUUCAAGUUUCUUUUCCCUCACUUUUUCAAGGAAACUUUUACCUUGAAACCUGUCAGAAAAUCGAUUAUAAACGGCUUUAGCAAGCGUUGUUUUACCUAUUCCACCCAUGCCCAAAAUUCCAAUCACCCGAACAUCAUCUGAAUCUCCGAUGCAUAAAUAAUUACUGAUAUUUUGCACUCGAGAAUCUAUUCCGACUUGGUAGGGUGCUACGUCUAAGUAUGUGUUGUUCAGCUUUCUAGUGACUUCCUCAGUAAUCCUCCUGAUAAACUUUGCUUCAUGCCUGACAUUGGUCAAGUUGAGAAGCAAAACGAAGAUUGUUAUACAACUACAAGACGAAAUUGAACUAAUACACAAAAUUACUUUUCACGACGAGAGAUUUUAUUUAAGACAAUUUUCUUUGAGGUGUUGUGUUUAAACUUAGCAAACAUCAAUUAAAAAUUCAAAAUAGAAACACAAGCAAACAAAACCAGUAUCCCUUCCCUCUGCAGCCAUUCGCCGGCGGCUCCCCUGCUAUGAUUAGUGUAAGCUUAACAGUUGAAGCUUUAUUGUAUGAUUUUAUUAAAAGAGGUCUAAGAAAUCGCAUGCUUCCAAAUUAAUAAGCAAAGGAACGUUAAAGCCUAAAUUCAUAAGAGAAGAAAUUAGUAAGUACCCGUCUUGGAGAUCCCAGCCAGACAAAUUCGAAGCUUUAGUAAGAGCAGUUCUCCACCUCUCUACCUUACAACUCUCUACCUUCUUUUCAUCUAUAUGGUCCCGAAACGAUUGUCCAAAACAGUCAGUCUGUUUCCUGACAUGCGAAGGAUCAAUGUCAUAGAAUAUUCGACAAAACUAACUGCCCCAGCGUUCUUCUACACUCCAUGAUCUUUACCAGCUCCUCGAGGCACCAGCUGGAGUUCGCAUACUGUCUAGAGAAGACGAUGAUAGAGAUCUUAGAACCUUGGAUUGCCCUCUCAAAUGCGAUUGUUAAUUCUUCUCCCUUUUUUAGUUCUUCGUCGUCAAUAAAAGCAUUGAUUCCGGCCUUUGUUAAUGCUUCAUAGAGGUGGCCCGUGAAGUUUUUACGUGUGUCUUCGCCUCUAAAGCUUAUGAACACAUCGUAGAGCGAACCUUUUGAGAAGGAGGACGAGGACAAGGAGGCGGAGGAGGACAAUGAGGAUGAGGAUGAGAGCGAGGAGGUGAAGGAGGACGAUGAGGAUGAGGACGAGGAUGAGGAUCCGGGCAAGGAGGAGGACGAUGAGGCUUUAUCGGGGACUGAGACAUUCAUUUGGCGAAAGACGUGGCUAAAGGAGCAGAGGAGGAAGAUGACGAC
rnacentral:lncRNA from 1 species